rnacentral:rRNA from 1 species
UACGUAGGGGGCGAGCGUUGUCCGGAAUUAUUGGGCGUAAAGGGCGUGUAGGCGGCCGAUCAAGUCAGGUGUGAAAUUCCAGGGCUCAACCCUGGACGUGCACUUGAAACUGGUUGGCUUGAGUGCAGAAGAGGAAAGUGGAAUUCCCAGUGUAGCGGUGAAAUGCGUAGAUAUUGGGAGGAACACCAGUGGCGAAGGCGACUUUCUGGUCCGUAACUGACGCUGAGGCGCGAAAGCUAGGGGAGCAAACAGG